rnacentral:rRNA from 1 species
UGCCUCAGACAUGCAAGUCGAACGAUUAAAGCUCUCUUCGGAGAGUGUAUAAACGUGGCGUACGGGUGAGUAACACGUAAGUAAUCUACCUUUGAGUGGGGAAUAACUUAAGGAAACUUAAGCUAAUACCGCAUAACGCAGCGGCUCGUAAUCGAGACAGUUGUUAAAGAAUUUAUUCGCUUAAAGAGGAGCUUGCGGCAGAUUAGCUAGUUGGUAAGGUAACGGCUUACCAAGGGCAACGAUCUGUAGCCGACCUGAGAGGGUGGUCGGUCACACUGACACUGAAUAACGGGUCAGACUCCUACGGGAGGCAGCAGUCGGGAAUUUUGUGCAAUGGGCGAAAGCCUGACACAGCAACGCCGCGUGAAGGAUGAAGUCCCUCGGGAUGUAAACUUCGUAAGCAUAGGAAGAAUAAAUGACGGUACUAUGCGUAAGCUCCGGCUAACUACGUGCCAGGCAGCCGCGGUAUACGUAGCGGAGCAAGCGUUGUUCGGAUUUACUGGGCGUAAAGGGUGCGUAUGCGGC